AAAAUGGUGAGCGGGAUGAGGGGAGUUCGGAACAGGGUUGUGAGGAUCCCCUCGGGGCCCGUCCCCAC
rnacentral:pre_miRNA from 1 species